UACGUAGGGGGCUAGCGUUGUCCGGAUUUAUUGGGCGUAAAGAGCUCGUAGGCGGUCUGUUGCGUCCGCUGUGAAAACCCGGGGCUUAACCCCUGGCUUGCAGUGGAUACGGACAGACUAGAGGUAGGUAGGGGAGAAUGGAAUUCCCGGUGUAGCGGUGAAAUGCGCAGAUAUCGGGAGGAACACCUGUGGCGAAGGCGGCCCCCUGGUUGGAUACUGACGCUGAGACGCGAAAGCGUGGGGAGCAAACAGG
rnacentral:rRNA from 1 species